GACGAACGCUGGCGGCGUGCCUAAUACAUGCAAGUCGAGCGCAGGAAACUGACGGAACUCUUCGGAGGGAAGGCAGCGGAAUGAGCGGCGGACGGGUGAGUAACACGUAAGGAACCUGCCUCAAGGAUUGGGAUAACUCCGAGAAAUCGGAGCUAAUACCGGAUAGUUCAUCGGACCGCAUGGUACGUUGAUGAAAGGCUCUCCGGCGUCACCUUGAGAUGGACUUGCGGUGCAUUAGCUAGUUUGUGGAGUAACGGCCCACCAAGGCGACGAUGCAUAGCCGACCUGAGAGGGUGAUCGGCCACACUGGGACCGAGACACGGCCCAGACUCCUACGGGAGGCAGCAGUAGGGAAUCUUCCACAAUGGACGAAAGUCUGAUGGAGCAACGCCGCGUGAGUGAUGAAGGUUUUCGGAUCGUAAAACUCUGUUGUAAGGGAAGAACACGUACGAGAGGAAAUGCUCGUACCUUGACGGUACCUUACGAGAAAGCCACGGCUAACUACGUGCCAGCAGCCGCCGUAACAC
rnacentral:rRNA from 1 species